GAUGAACGCUAGCUACAGGCUUAACACAUGCAAGUCGAGGGACCGGCGCACGGGUGAGUAACACGUAUCCACCCUGCCCUUUACUCGGGGAUAGCCUUUCGAAAGACAGAUUAAUACCCGCUAUAACGGAUGGGGAUGCGUUCCAUUAGGUUGUUGGUGAGGUCACGGCUCACCAAGCCUUCGAUGGAUAGGGGUUCUGAGAGGAAGGUCACCCACAUUGGAACGGAGACACGGUCCAAACUCCGACGGGAGGCAGCAGUGAGGAAUAUUGGUCAAUGGGCGCUAGCCUGAACCAGCCAAAUAGCGGGAAGGAUGAAGGCUUAUGGGUCGUAAACUUCUGUUAUAUAAGAAUAUGUAUUAUAUGAAUAAGGAUAGGCUAACUCCGUGCCAGCAGCCGCGGUAAUAC
rnacentral:rRNA from 1 species